rnacentral:tRNA from 1 species
AGGGUAGUAGCUCUAACUGGCAGAGCGUCGGUCUCCAAAACCGAAUGUUGGGGGUUCGAAUCCCUCCUACCCUGCCA